GAUCAUGGCUCAGAUUGAACGCUGGCGGCAUGCCUUACACAUGCAAGUCGAACGGUAACAGGUCUUUCGGGAUGCUGACGAGUGGCGAACGGGUGAGUAAUACAUCGGAACGUGCCUAGUAGGUGGGGGAUAACUACUCGAAAGAGUGGCUAAUACCGCGUGAGAUCUAUGGAUGAAAGCAGGGGACCUUCGGGCCUUGUGCUACUAGAGCGGCCGAUGGCAGAUUAGGUAGUUGGUGGG
rnacentral:rRNA from 1 species